rnacentral:rRNA from 3 species
ACGGGAGGCAGCAGUGGGGAAUAUUGCACAAUGGGGGAAACCCUGAUGCAGCGACGCCGCGUGAGUGAAGAAGUAUUUCGGUAUGUAAAGCUCUAUCAGCAGGGAAGAAAAUGACGGUACCUGACUAAGAAGCCCCGGCUAACUACGUGCCAGCAGCCGCGGUAAUACGUAGGGGGCAAGCGUUAUCCGGAAUUACUGGGUGUAAAGGGUGCGCAGGUGGUAAGGCAAGUCAGGAGUGAAAUGCCGGGGCUCAACCCCGGAACUGCUCUUGAAACUGUUUAACUGGAGUGCAGGAGAGGUAAGCGGAAUUCCUAGUGUAGCGGUGAAAUGCGUAGAUAUUAGGAGGAACACCAGUGGCGAAGGCGGCUUACUGGACUGUAACUGACACUGAGGCACGAAAGCGUGGGGAGCAAACAGGAUUAGAUACCCUGGUA